rnacentral:rRNA from 1 species
GGCCGCGGGAUUAGAGUUUGAUCCUGGCUCAGGUUGAACSYUKGCGGCAUGCUUUACACAUGCAAGUCGAACGGUAACAGGGUGKUUGCACCGCUGACGAGUGGCGAACGGGCGAGUAAUGCGUCGGAACGUGCCGAGUAGUGGGGGAUAACGCAGCGAAAGUUGUGCUAAUACCGCAUACGUACUGAGGUAGAAAGUGGGGGACCUUCGGGCCUCACGCUAUUCGAGCGGCCGACGUCUGAUUAGCUAGUAGGUGAGGUAAAGGCUCACCUAGGCGACGAUCAGUAGCGGGUCUGAGAGGAUGAUCCGCCACACUGGGACUGAGACACGGCCCAGACUCCUACGGGAGGCAGCAGUGGGGAAUUUUGGACAAUGGGCGAAAGCCUGAUCCAGCCAUGCCGCGUGUCUGAAGAAGGCCUUCGGGUUGUAAAGGACUUUUGUCAGGGAGGAAAUCCCUAGUGCUAAUAACACUGGGGGAUGACAGUACCUGAAGAAUAAGCACCGGCUAACUACGUGCCAGCAGCCGCGGUAAUACGUAGGGUGCGAGCGUUAAUCGGAAUUACUGGGUGUAAAGCGUGCGCAGGCGGUUUGAUAAGCCAGAUGUGAAGUCCCCGAGCUCAACUUGGGAACUGCGUUUGGAACUGUCAGACUAGAGUGCGUCAGAGGGGGGUGGAAUUCCGCGUGUAGCAGUGAAAUGCGUAGAGAUGCGGAGGAACACCGAUGGCGAAAGCAGCCCCCUGGGAUGACACUGACGCUCAUGCACGAAAGCGUGGGGAGCAAACAGGAUUA